CGCGCGUCCGUGAUUGAAAGUCGAUGCCAGUCGCAGGCGAAACGAUCCACGUAAGCCGGAAAAAUUCCGGUGAGCAUGGUGCGGCUUAGAAGUAAGUCCGGCCGGCCGACAGAGCCGAGAGGGUCAGUAGUGGGGAGGCAGAGUCCUUAUGAGCGAACGCUCCAGCCGGCGAGUGUGGGGUAAAAGAUCAGCGUCGGGCG
rnacentral:ncRNA from 1 species